rnacentral:rRNA from 1 species
UAAUACGGAGGAUGCGAGCGUUAUCCGGAUUUAUUGGGUUUAAAGGGAGCGCAGACGGGUCGUUAAGUCAGCUGUGAAAGUUUGGGGCUCAACCUUAAAAUUGCAGUUGAUACUGGCGUCCUUGAGUGCGGUUGAGGUGUGCGGAAUUCGUGGUGUAGCGGUGAAAUGCUUAGAUAUCACGAAGAACUCCGAUUGCGAAGGCAGCACACUAAUCCGUAACUGACGUUCAUGCUCGAAAGUGUGGGUAUCAAACAGGAUUAGAUACCCUGGUAGUCCACACGGUAAACGAUGGAUACUCGCUGUUGGCGAUAUACUGUCAGCGGCUUAGCGAAAGCGUUAAGUAUCCCACCUGGGGAGUACGCCGGCAACGGUG